AUACGAAGGGGGCUAGCGUUGUUCGGAAUUACUGGGCGUAAAGCGCGCGUAGGCGGAUUGGUCAGUUAGGGGUGAAAUCCCAGGGCUUAACCCUGGAACUGCCUCUAAUACUGCCAGUCUAGAGUUCGGGAGAGGUGAGUGGAAUUCCUAGUGUAGAGGUGAAAUUCGUAGAUAUUAGGAAGAACACCAGUGGCGAAGGCGGCUCACUGGCCCGAUACUGACGCUGAGGCGCGAAAGCGUGGGGAGCAAACAGGAUUAGAAACCCUUGUAGUCC
rnacentral:rRNA from 1 species